CGGAUGAAACCACCGACUUGUGCUCAUGACUUAAAAACUGAAAACCAAAAGAGGCGGAAUGCAGUUUGAAGUUGUCAGACACAUUGCAGAUACAGCUGCGACAACAGGAAACCAGAGAAAAGGCGCCGGUGCAACAGAACUGAAACCUGCGUCAAUGAAGGUGUUGCUGUCCUGCAUCAGCAGCUUUAUCCCCACCAUGUCUUGAAAUUCUGAGUGAUCUGAGACAAUGGAGAGUCCAGCGUCCACAGUGAGGCGACGAGCAUGGAUCAACAGCAGCCGACAGUGGGUCACCUUGGAGGACCCGGACCCGGAGGCCCAGCCCUUCAGACUUCCAUCUGCUUCUUUAGUGGAUGAUGACGUCUUUUCAGACAGUCAGUCCGAUUCACCAAGAUGCUUCACAGGAAAGAUUGAGAGCUGGCUCCUCGGUUGUGGGUGAGUCAGAUGCUUGACUUUUCUUUUUUUUGUUGUUAUGAGAUGAUAACAUUUAGCAACAUGAUCUUGAAGAUAGUCUGACAGCCGCUGGAAUCACACUCAGCAAACAACAGUAAGUACAUAAUGGAAACUCUCUGAAGUCAGGUGUUCCAGGAAGACCAAGAAGACACUGAGGUUAGGCAGCCACAGUAUUGUUUUCCCCUCAGAUGGUGCAUUUUUUUUUUUUUUUCAUAUGGAAAAAGAAUGCAAUGCAAGACUUUACUGUUGAAUUGGUACAUUUGCUCAUCAGAGCUUUGCCUAUGGUGAACAAUACAUGACAUGGUGGUCAAGGCCAUCAAAACUAUGAAAGGAAG
rnacentral:lncRNA from 1 species